UAUACUAUUAAGGCAGCUGAACAGUUUCCCAAGUUGUGAAUCAUUAACCUACUUUUUGUCUUCUAGAAAGAAACAGAAGUGUUGCUCUUGUAAGAGCAAAAAUGUUUUUAGUAAGUCUUUCCUGUGGGAAAAAUACUCUCUACAUCCCUAAAUCCAGGAUCCAUAGAAGCAGAAAAAUGAAUUGCAGGACUUACUUAAUUUUAAGGCCUUACAGCUGUCUUUAGCAAAGCAAACUUUCAGCUACUAAAAGUUUGAUGGCACCAUUGUCUUUUGAUGACAGCUAACACAAAGGAGAUGGGCUCUUUGAUUUAUGUAAUAGAUAAAUGCCACCAUAGCGUAAUAAUUACAGUGAUGUAUUAAUAAACUGUUCUUUUUAAAAUUAAUGGAGUUAUCCUUUGAAAACACACACAGAUGACUGUGUCUUAAAAAUACAAAAUCAGAAACAUGGCAAAAAUAACUGUACUCUGUAGUAAGGAGUGAUUGAUUUUCACUUUUUCACAGAUUUUCUCUAUACUUGUCACAGCCUGUACCAGAAGGCUUCUGAAAGAGUGUCUUUUGAAUGAAUAGCAGAAAACACGCUGAGGAUUCAUGAGAUUAUGAGAUGAAGACCCCAGAGAGAUACAUAACAGUAUCAUAUUGAAGAUCAUGAAGUCAGGAGCAGAACUGAGGUGAAACUCUAGAUCUCUUAAAUCCAUCCCAGCAGAAAACAAAAAGGUGAGGCCUCCUCUUCCUUUGAUGGAUAGAGCACGUGUGAGGAAGAGGGAUCUGAGCGUGUUCCAUAUUCCUGUGCUAUUGUGAACAAAACUGUAAUGAUGAUGUGAUGAUGGCCUCUCUGACUAUGGAGCUAUUAGCAGAAAACAAGCCUUUAGAGAUAGCCUCUGGAUUCAUGUGGUUUGUAAUACUGAUAGCUGUCAGGUAAAUUCACUGUACUUUUCUAGGCUUUCAAAUAAUAAAACAUUUUUUUUACACAGAAAGUGCCCAAACUAAGAUUUUAUUUCAGGCUUUUCUGUUUAACUUUUCCUGUUUUUUGUUUGUUUGAUUGUUUGUUUUUCUUUAAUGUUGCAAUUGAAAAGAAUUUAUCCACUUGCUUAAAUAAAAGUGAUUUCCACACUACAUACCAUGCAUGUAUGUGCAGAAGCCCCACUACCCUCAGCAGGGCACUAGUGCAUGUAUAAGCUGAGCAGUGCCUUGUGCAAGGGUUUGGAAAGGUCACCACUUUUUGUGUUUUGACAUUCAUUGUAACAAACAAGGCAAGAGAGUAAACAGGAGAAGUUGGAAUGUAAAAAGGCAAACAAGAUGAAAAGGGAAAUUCAGAGAAAAAGCCCUCCAUGCAAGAUUUGUGGGAAAUGCCAAUGUUGUUUGUGUGGUAAAAUAAAGCAUUACCUCAGCUGAGAUCUACUGCAGAUUCAUGACAAUGAAAAACUUACCUCCUUGGAAAGUUCUGUCUGCAACCUGUAGCCCCUUUAGUUCCACAAGAAGUAUUUUAUAUAGGAUAUAUAGGAUGCUGUCAUUAUUGACUCCCUUUUCUCCGUAGGUACAAUGGGGAGAAUAGUUAUUCCUUAGGAGAGAAGGGCAGAAAUUACUUUUCAGCUUUCUGAGCAGAAGGCUGUGGGGCAGGCUGUAGCAAAUGAAAAGCAGUUGUAAAACACAGGGAUGCAGAGGAGUCAUAAAAGGAAGCAGGAAUACACAGCUGGUGAUCAAACUGAUUACCUUGGCAGGAGUCUGGGGACAAACUAUAUUCUCAGAAAAAUUCAAUAUAAAUUAAAUUAAGUGAAAAACUCCUUUUAGUUUCCUACAGGGUAGAAUUAGGAAAAUUUUAGGGUAACUGCUGCAACCCUGAUGCAGCAUGAAGCUCCUGCUUUUAGGAGCUGAGCUGCUCAGAGAUGAAUCUCUCAGGAAUCACAUGGCUUCAGCAGCAUUAUGCCUGACCUGCAGGGCUGGCAUCCAUGCUAUUUGUUGGACUUCCCUCUGUAAUGACUUGUUCUGUCCCUAAGAUGGAAAGUUCAGUCAGAUGUAGGCAGAUAUAUUUGUUUGUGUACAUUUGGUGCAGAAGCUGGCUCCUCAGAAGGGAACAGCAACAGAUUGAGUGUAACUGUUGGGGAAAUCGCUGGGGACUUGUGAUGUGCACAGGAUGUGAUAUAUUUCUGGAUGUGGGCUGUAGAGGCUUGCUGUGAGCCCGUGGAAGGCUCUGGAGAUCAAAAGCACUGAGAAGCAGGUCACCAGAGAGGCAGAAAGUGCUGUCAGUGCCAGAAGACCAGAAACAAGUGCCUAAUGGGACAGAGGCUGCAGCAGCAUCCUGGUGCUGAGUGGCAGCUCAAUUCGAGCUUUAGAAAAACAAAGACUAACAAUAACCAAACCCCAGCGCUGCUGAAUGGACUAGUUAAAAGAACUCCAGGGAGUUAGCAUCCUGUUAGAGUUAGUGCUCAGUUUAUGGUGUGCCUCUAGUGUUUAUGAAAACGUAUGCGGAUGGAGUUAGCUCUUCGGAACGCUGUUGGCAAUUUAUUCUUUGCUCAGAUUUUUAUAAACGUUUAUAUUAUCAGUUCUUUUAUAUUUUAUACCUCACAAUGACUUUUGGCUUUGCCAAAUGUAUCUCAGAGGAACUUUAUUAUUUCUGUAUUGUUUGUGGUAUGAGCAUGAACUUUGACUUCCUGCCUUCCAAUUUAGUUUGGUGUCUAGCUCUUUGCUGUCUGGGUCACUCGUGUUACAGCUGGAGCUUCCUGUUUUCAAACCCAUAGCAGCCAACCAUGUAAACCUGAGGGUCAGCGCGUUCAGAAAUGAUGCAUGAUUCCAGUCACUUGUUUGCUGAAAUAAAUUACAUUUACGUAA